rnacentral:rRNA from 1 species
GAUGAACGUUGGCGGCGUGCCUAACACAUGCAAGUCGCACGCUUGUAGCAAUACAAGAGUGGCGCACGGGUGAGUAACACGUAGCUUAUCUGCCUCAAAGAGUGGGAUAACCCCGCGAAAGCGGGACUAAUACCGCAUAAGCUCACAGACUACAGAGGUCCGUGAGAAAAGGAGCAAUCCGCUUUGAGAGGAGGCUGCGGCCCAUCAGCUAGNGGCGAGGUAACGGCUCACCAAGGCAACGACGGGUAGGGGACCUGAGAGGGUGACCCCCCACACUGGGACUGAGACACGGCCCAGACUCCUACGGGAGGCAGUAGUGAGGAAUAUUGCACAAUGGGCGCAAGCCUGAUGCAGCGACGCCGCGUGGGUGAAGAAGGUUUUCGGAUCGUAAAACCCUUUUCUGUGUGACGAGCAAGGACGGUAGCACAGGAAUAAGUCUCGGCUAACUACGUGCCAGCAGCCGCCGCGGUAAU